rnacentral:rRNA from 1 species
AACGAACGCUGGCGGCAUGCCUAACACAUGCAAGUCGAACGAAACCAUCGGGUCUAGUGGCGCACGGGUGCGUAACGCGUGGGAACCUUCCCUUAUGUUUGGCAUAACUCCCCGAAAGGGGUGCUAAUACCGGAUAAUGUCUUCGAACCAAAGAUUUAUUGCGCUUGGAUGGGCCCUCGUUGGAUUAGCUUGUUGGUAGGGUAAAAGCCUACCAAGGCGACGAUUCAUAACUGGUUUGAGAGGAUGAUCAGCGACACUGGGAGUGGGACACGGCCCGGACUCCUACGGGAGGCGGCAAUGGGUAAUAUUGGAAAAUGGGGGAAAGCCUGAUGCAGCAAUGCCGCGUGAGUGAUGAAGGCAGUAGGGUUGUAAAGCUCUUUUACCCGGGAUGAUAAUGACAGUACCGGGAGAAUAAGCCCCGGCUAACUCCGUG